ACAUCGGAUCAGUGUGAGAGGUUAUGUGAAAUCAUACGAUAUAUCUAUGUCACAUGAGCUCACUUUUAUGUGAAAGUUUAUCUGCUUAUUGUAUAUGAUGAGAUGUGCAUAUUCGGAAAAGGGAUGGUAUGCCCGAAGGAAGAGUGAAAUAAAAUAUACGAACAACUAUGUUAUAAUUUGAUUGUUAUCUGUUGACACUGCUUAAAACUUACUAAGCAUUGUAAUGCUUACUCUGUUUACUCUGUUUCCUCUGUUUUAUAGAUCUCAUUUGGAAGCUACAGGCUCAGGGAUCAUCAGCAACUAGUCACACUAUCACUAUCCAUUGUUUGGUACUGCUACGUUUUGGAUUAUCUUAUGGCAUGUAUAGAAUAGACUAGUGGCGGAAGAAUAUUUUUGGUUAAUGUAUAUAAGCCAUGCGAAAAUGGCAUCUUUUGAAUGUUUACUUAGUGAAGUUUAAAUUUUACCUCUGGUUGUGCUUAGUACUUAUUUAAAC
rnacentral:lncRNA from 1 species